rnacentral:rRNA from 1 species
CCCGCAAGGGGAGCGGCGGACGGGUGAGUAACGCGUGGGAAUCUAUCCUGAGGUGAGGGAUAACCCUGGGAAACUAGGGCUAAUACCGCAUGAUGUCUGCGGACCAAAGCCGCAAGGCGCCGCAGGAGGAGCCCGCGUCCGAUUAGCUUGUUGGUGGGGUAACGGCCUACCAAGGCGACGAUCGGUAGCUGGUCUGAGAGGAUGAUCAGCCACACUGGGACUGAGACACGGCCCAGACUCCUACGGGAGGCAGCAGUGGGGAAUUUUCCGCAAUGGGCGAAAGCCUGACGGAGCAACGCCGCGUGAGGGAGGAAGGCUCUUGGGUUGUAAACCUCUUUUCUCAAGGAAGAUAAUGACGGUACUUGAGGAAUCAGCAUCGGCUAACUCCGUGCCAGCAGCCGCGGUAAUACGGAGGAUGCAAGCGUUAUCCGGAAUAAUUGGGCGUAAAGCGUUCGUAGGUGGUGAUGUAAGUCUGCUGUUAAAGCGUGUAGCUUAACUACAUAUAGGCGGUGGAAACUACAUGACUAGAGUGCGUUCGGGGCAGAGGGAAUUCCUGGUGUAGCGGUGAAAUGCGUAGAUAUCAGGAAGAACACCGGUGGCGAAGGCGCUCUGCUAGGCCGCAACUGACACUGAGGGACGAAAGCUAGGGGAGCGAAUGGGAUUAGAUACCCCAGUAGUCCUAGCUGUAAACGAUGGAUACUAGGCGUUGUCUGUAUCGACCCGGACAGUGCCGUAGCUAACGCGUUAAGUAUCCCGCCUGGGGAGUACGCACGCAAGUGUGAAACUCAAAGGAAUUGACGGGGGCCCGCACAAGCGCUGGAGUAUGUGGUUUAAUUCGAUGCAACGCGAAGAACCCUACCAAGGCCUGACAUGUCCGGAAUUUCUUGGAAACGAGAAAGUGCCUUCGGGAACCGGAACAC